GCAAAACAAAAAUUUAUAAAAUAAUUUGUGCUUUUUUUUUUUUAAAUCAAAGAUGAUGUCUGGAUUAAUGGCUACAAUGAGCACGUUUUGUAAUGCACAGCUUUUCGAAGCGAGGUUUGAAGCAGGACACAGCAACUCUCGGCUCCUGCUCAAUGUGUAGCCGGGACCUGUAUUAUGAUACUGAAGUAGCAGUCACAAAGCGGCAGGAUUGUUGGCAAUAUUCGGCACGU